rnacentral:rRNA from 1 species
GAUGAACGCUAGCGGCAGGCCUAACACAUGCAAGUCGAGGGGUAGUUACUUUCGGGUAAUGAGACCGGCGCACGGGUGCGUAACGCGUAUGCAAUCUACCUUUUACAGGGGAAUAGCCCAGAGAAAUUUGGAUUAAUGCCCCAUAGUAUGUAUGAAUCGCAUGGUUUAUACAUUAAAGUUCCAACGGUAAAAGGUUAGCAUGCGUCCCAUUAGUUAGUUGGUAAGGUAACGGCUUACCAAGACGAUGAUGGGUAGGGGUCCUGAGAGGGAGAUCCCCCACACUGGUACUGAGGCACGGACCAGACUCCUACGGGAGGCAGCAGUGAGGAAUAUUGGACAAUGGGCGCAAGCCUGAUCCAGCCAUGCCGCGUGCAGGAAGAAGCAUCUAUGGUGUGUAAACUGCUUUUGUACGGGAAGAAACACUCCCUCGUGAGGGAGCUUGACGGUACCGUAAGAAUAAGGAUCGGCUAACUCCGUGCCAGCCGCCGCAGUAA